rnacentral:ncRNA from 1 species
UUUGGGCGCAGGCGGCCGGUCCGUCGCAAGGCGUGUACUGGACGUGCUGGCCUUCCCUCCGGUUCUCCGCCGGUGCUCUUGACUGAGUGUCGGCGGCGGCCGGAACGUUUACUUUGAAAAAAUUAGAGUGUUCAAAGCAGGCUCUCGAGCCUGGAUAAUGGUGCAUGGAAUAAUGGAAUAGGACCUCGGUUCUAUUUGUGGGGUUUUCGGAGCGCGAGGUAAUGAUUAAGAGGGACAGACGGGGGCAUUCGUACUGUGCCGUUAGAGGUGAAAUUCUUGGAUCGGCGCAAGACGAACGACUGCGAAAGCAUUUGCCAAGAAUGUUUUCUUUAAUCAAGAGCGAAAGUCAGAGGUUCGAAGACGAUCAGAUACCGUCCUAGUUCUGACUAUAAACGAUGCCAACUAGCGAUCGGGGGGCGUUACAUUGACGACCCCUCCGGCAGCUUACGGGAAACCAAAGUCUUUGGGUUCCGGGGGAAGUAUGGUUGCAAAGCUGAAACUUAAAGGAAUUGACGGAAGGGCACCACCAGGAGUGGAGCCUGCGGCUUAAUUUGACUCAACACGGGAAAUCUCACCCGGCCCGGACACAGUGAGGAUUGACAGAUUGAGAGCUCUUUCUUGAUUCUGUGGGUGGUGGUGCAUGGCCGUUCUUAGUUGGUGGAGCGAUUUGUCUGGUUAAUUCCGAUAACGAACGAGACUCUGGCUUGCUAAAUAGUUACGCGACCAUCCCGGUCGGCGUUUAACUUCUUAGAGG